UUCUUGAUAGCUCAGUUGGAGCGUGGUGCUGAUAACACCAAGGUUGCAGGUUCGAUUCCCGUUUGGGAUA